ACUACAGCAGCACCAACUACUACACCAGCACCAACUGCUACAGCACAAACUACUACACCAGCACCAACUACUACAGCUGGACCUACUUCUACUCCAGCCCCAACUACUACAGCUGGACCCACAUCUACACUAGUACCAACUCCUACAUCAGCACUAAUUUUAACACCAGCACAAACUACUACAACAGCACCAACUGCUACACCAGCACUAACUACGACACCAGCACUAACUACUACAACAUCACCAACUACUACACCAGCACUAACUACCACACAAACUACUACACCAGCACCAACUACUACAGCUGGACCCACUUCUACAACAGUACCAACUACUAAACCAGCACCAACUAGUACCCUAGCAGGAUCCACUACUAUUGGGACAAC